AGCACUACAUCCACCUGCCAGAGGCGUGAAUAUUUGGGUGCCGGAGGCCUUGUUAAUUUAGCACCUCGCAGUAGUCGACAAACCAGGGGAUCUUGACCCACUGGGCUGCCUUGUACCGAAACGUGUGCUGCCGAUAUGGCUGAUCUGAUCACAUUGAGGGAUCGAUAUGAUCGACCCAAAGAGAACAGAUGAGAAAGGUAGUUAAGGAUUAGG